rnacentral:rRNA from 1 species
ACAGGUGCUGCAUGGCUGUCGUCAGCUCGUGUUGUGAAAUGUUGGGUUAAGUCCCGCAACGAGCGCAACCCUUAUCCUUUGUUGCCAGCGGUCCGGCCGGGAACUCAAAGGAGACUGCCAGUGAUAAACUGGAGGAAGGUGGGGAUGACGUCAAGUCAUCAUGGCCCUUACGACCAGGGCUACACACGUGCUACAAUGGCGCAUACAAAGAGAAGCGACCUCGCGAGAGCAAGCGGACCUCAUAAAGUGCGUCGUAGUCCGGAUUGGAGUCUGCAACUCGACUCCAUGAAGUCGGAAUCGCUAGUAAUCGUGGAUCAGAAUGCCACGGUGAAUACGUUCCCGGGCCUUGUACACACCGCCCGUCACACCAUGGGAGUGGGUUGCAAAAGAAGUAGGUAGCUUAACCUUCGGGAGGGCGCUUACCACUUUGUGAUUCAUGACUGGGGUGAAGUCGUAAC